rnacentral:tRNA from 1 species
GCCUUCGUGGUGUAACUGGAAGCACGCUCGAUGUGUAUUCGGGAGGUCCGGAGUUCGAAUCCCGGCGAGGGCA